UUGUAAGAGACAGCAGUAGCCGCGGUAAUACGGAGGAUCCAAGCGUUAUCCGGAAUCAUUGGGUUUAAAGGGUCCGUAGGCGGUCUUGUAAGUCAGUGGUGAAAGCCCAUCGCUCAACGGUGGAACGGCCAUUGAUACUGCAGGACUUGAAUUAUUGGGAAGUAACUAGAAUAUGUAGUGUAGCGGUGAAAUGCUUAGAGAUUACAUGGAAUACCAAUUGCGAAGGCAGGUUACUACCAAUUGAUUGACGCUGAUGGACGAAAGCGUGGGUAGCGAACAGGAUUAGAUACCCCAGUAGUCCCUGUCUCUUAUAA
rnacentral:rRNA from 1 species